rnacentral:rRNA from 1 species
CAGCAGCCUCGGUAAAUACGUAGGGUGCAAGCGUUAAUCGGAAUUACUGGGCGUAAAGCGUGCGCAGGCGGUUAUAUAAGACAGAUGUGAAAUCCCCGGGCUCAACCUGGGAACUGCAUUUGUGACUGUAUAGCUAGAGUACGGCAGAGGGGGAUGGAAUUCCGCGUGUAGCAGUGAAAUGCGUAGAUAUGCGGAGGAACACCGAUGGCGAAGGCAAUCCCCUGGGCCUGUACUGACGCUCAUGCACGAAAGCGUGGGGAGCAAACAGGAUUAGAUACCCGAGUAGUCCCUGUCUCUUAUA